UUUCCUGCCGUAUCCCCCGUCUCCAUGUCCGUCUGCGCUGAGGCCUAUCGCGGAGCUGGCGGCCUUCAACUGCGACCGACCUCGAGGCUGCGGAGUCAGAGCCAGGACUUACCAACGCGAGGCUGGCCGACUUCGGGGCUGUGGUUGCCGGGCGACCCAACCUCCGACCCGACUUUGGAGACUCGGAGGCUCGGCCGUGGGCCAGUGGACAACAUCAUCGGGAGCUCGAGUUCGGUUUUCCGGAGCUCCCGUAACUACAGCUGCGUCCGCUGGACUGGAGGGCGGCAGCUUCGGCAGCUUCGAAGUUUGAACCGGCCCGUUUGCGGAGCACGGAUUCAGCUGCGGGACUUACCUACCAUCACCCGGCGGGGUCACAACAUCGGAGGCUUGGAUUACCUCAGCGCAGAGUGAGGGCAAGGAGGGAAGAGACAAUGACUUUGGGACUUUAAACUGUGUUGAGUGUUUAUUAUUUAUUCUAUGUUAUGGCUGCAGGCUAAACCAUUUUGUUGCACUGAAAAGUUCAAUGAAAAUAAAUUGAAUCAAAUCAAAUCAAAUCAAAUCAAAGCAUCUAUGGGGUGAAGGAAAUAGGCGACGUUUCAGGUCGAGACCCAAAACGUCACCUAUUUCCUUUGCUCCAUAGAUGCUGACUCACCCGCUGACUUUCUCCAGCAUUUAUGUCCACCUUUGAUUUUCCAGCAUCUGCAGUUCCUUCUUAAACAAAGAUAAUUGACCUCUUCAACUUUACAACAACCACCAGCCCCAGUAGGUAUAAGGCUGGAGCAACCUGUUAUGGCUUUCCGUUUCCGAAUGGGAAACAUUGUUUCCUAAUAAAGAGUGCUAGGUGAACAAUGACAUUGGCCCUGAUUCCCUUCCCAGUUGAGGAGUUGUCUAAUAUUCCAUCUGCUGGAGGAACUCAGUGGGUCAAGCAGCAUCUACAGGGGAAAAGGAAUGGUCGACGUUUCAGACCAAUAUCUUUGAUCAGAACUGAGAACUCAGGACCAUUCCUAUCCACCCAAAGAUGCUGCUCAACUCUCUGAAUUCCUACAAGAGAUUGUUUUGUGCUCCAAAUUCCAGCAACUGCAGUCUCUGGUGUGUCUGACUGGCUUGUUACAUAUGUGAAGUAUUCCCACCUGAAUGAGGUCCCAGAACAUUGAAUCUAACUAUAUCACAUCGUCAGUGAGGCUACUGGUUAGGAGAGAAGACAGCGCAUGAAAAACAAAUAUAUUUAUUUGAGCAGAGCAGCUCAGCUCGCAUGAACCUGGGGGAGAAUAUUUCAUGGUGUUUCAUGUUUCAAUGAAACAGAAACGGAUUUGGUGUGCAGAUCCUGCAUGGUAACCUGUCAUGAACCUAGUUUAAAUUUGUCUUGCUGUUUAUUUUCUGAUAGGGAGGCAUGAGUCUUCAGCUUUGCUAAUUUGUACUGAAUUAGCUGAUCACACUCUGAGCAGCAGAAGGCUUCAACUAUCUGCCCAACCCAGUCUGACCACAGGAACCUCUCCCCUGUCACUGAAUGGGGCCGAUUCUGUGAGGACUUCCGUAAUUGCAGUGUGCUCUCAAACUGAUUGAAGGGAAUUAUGCUCUUGGCUUUAUUAUUUAUUUUUCUUGAUUUCCUCACGAACACUUUGUGGUUCAGUCAUGUUGCAUUUUGUGUUUGCUCUCACUUUGCUUUACAAUAAUAAUCAACCACCUCUCUUGUCUCUGGAUGGCUUUCUCAGGACGAGGGGGCCACCUGACCCUGACCCUGACCCUACCCAAAUGUUUCAUUGUGAAAUCGACCCUCACUGAUGAGGAGCUAAUCCCCCUCUGUUGACAAUGGAGAGGGAAAAUCUCACUUCCCUGUGGCCAUUUGCAUUUCUCUGAGGUUUACCCCAUUCCGAUUACUUCAAGAGUCAUCAAGUUUCUUGUUUUAUCAUUUUACCAUUUUUUCUUUACUGUGUUUUAUUCCAUCAGCCGCCACCCUCUAGUUUAAGGCAGUCUGUUUUUUUUGCUUGAUUAUUUAUGAGUCAUUGUUUAAUUACUGUGGAUCCUUAUAAAUCAUACGGUCGGAUUGGAGAGGUGGCACGUUGAACGUGUGGUUCAUACUGAGUUAAUUGCUGUCAGUCAGGGUGGCAGUACAAUUAGUUUCAUUGUCCCUGAGCCAAUUAAAUGCAAUAAACAUAAAUCAGGUCAGGAUUCCCACUUCCCAGUGGUGUUAACUUCAGUGUCUGAAGAAGGGUCUCGACCCGAAACGUCACCCAUUCCUUCUAACCAGAGAUGCUGCCUGUCCCGCCGAGUUACUCCAGCACUAUGUGUCUCUCUUCCUUGUCAACUUACCAUUAGGGUAAGCAUGCUGAGGUGUCACAAAACAUUGCAAAUGGGCUUGGAUGUGAUCCCCUUCUCAAAGUAGUAUAGCCUGCAGCAAUCACUGCCGAGAUUAUAGCCUGCAGCAACGACAGCCAUCUGCCCAAUGAAACCACAGUGAGAUAGGUGGUGUUGUGGGCAAGGCUGCAAUUUGAGAAACAUUGUGGCCAGGAAUAAUAACAUUUUCAGAUUUGUUUAAGAAGGAACUGCAGAUGCUGGAAAAUCAAAGGUAGACAAAAGUGCUGGAGAAACUCAGCGGGCGCCUAUUUCCUUUGCUCAAUAGAUGCUACUGCACCCGCUGAGUUUCUCCAGCACUUUUGUCUACCUUUGAUUUCUCGGAGUUCCUCCAUGUUAGAUCCUGACUGGUAAUGCAAGUUUGAUCACUUUGUGCAUUUUCUUUGUCUAGCAACUCAGAACCCCAGGGGCAACGGUCUGAUCAAGUAUUAUUUAAAAACAAAUUAAACUGAUCAGAGGGUUAAAAUCUACUGUGGUGUUGUGGUUCCUACGAUGUGGUAUUCUGGAGUAAAUCCCAGUCAUUUAUAAUGUCAGCGCACUUCCAACCUACUAUUGCCCUCCUCCCAACUUAAUAAAGACAUGUAGGUUUGCCGAACUAUAUAACAAUGUCAUCGACUCUCUUGUUUCCUAUUACUCUCCCACCGGCCUCUUCAGACACAUACUUUGGAGAGUUGUCUCCUUGUGCCGGCUGUCCAGACUCACCCUUUGACCCAUCAGCUCCCCAGCUCCCGGUGGCAGCUGAUUUAAUUAGUUAUCUCUGGGUAAAAAGGAAAGUUACCAUCGGGAUGGAGUCUGUCCACAGACUGAUUGGCAAUUUCAUCAGUGUGAGGUAGUCUUCAACUGAAAGGUCGGUGACACGAUGAAGAGACUGACCAAGCUGUUUUAUUAACAGCAAUUUAAUUGUUGCAGUUAUGGUCACACCAAAUUUAUGUUCCCGGGUAGCUCUUGGACUGUGAAAACAACUAAAUUGAAACCUUAAAGGAACUGAGCGGAAAUAUAAAGACAGAGAUAAAAAGGGCCAUAAAAUAGUGAAUGACAGGCACACUAAAUCCUAGUCAAUUAACAAACUUCUGCCCACUAAAGUAUUCUUCUGUGGGGAAUGAUCUUUCACAGUUUGUUUAAGCACAGUCUAGAGUAGAUAUAAGAAAUCAAUAUUAGCCGAGGUAUGUUUAUUUGCUACUUUUUUCUUUAGAAGCUGUUGACUGUAGGAGCUAAGACUGAAGUGUUUAGACUAAUGAUCCAGUGCUUCGGUGCCCAAAAUACAGUCAUAUCCAGGCCAAAGGCAUUGAGUACCCAUUUGUUUGUAUGUCUACAUUCCUCAUGGAUUACCCUCUGAGAAUCAUCUCUAAGCGCCUGCACUUCAGGGAAGCCUGCAUGGCAAGACCAUGCUCCUGCCCACACUACUUGCUUCAGGAGGGCAAAGGAAAAGUAGAUGAAGCUUCCUGCCCUCGAGCAUGAAGUUUCACCCCAUUAGUGCAGCUAACUGUGAGAUAUGGCCAAAAUCAGCCUCCACGGGCUGGAUGAUCCUCCAGCUCAUAUGUUGAGAGUGAGGGUAAGUUUAUUCUGAUGGAAUCAUUGAUACCUGGGAGAAAGCCAUCGCACGUCCAGGUCACCUGCUCACCUGCUCACCUUGAACCACCUCAUUGAACUUGCUCACAGCGUACGCUGCACGCUACUCACACUGCAGACCAGCCCUGCCUUGAAGCAAGGUCUACAGUGUGAGUAGCAUGCAGGGUACGCUGUGAGCAGGAUCAAUGCAACUGCCGCAGACUGAUGCUAAGUCAGGAUUAGAGUGUUUGGCCCAUUUUAUAACAUUGACUGUGAGCCUUCAGCAGUAGAAUCAGCUGGUUCUUCUAUGCAUCAGUGUGUGUCUGUAGUCAUUCAAACCAAAGGUAUUUAAAAUCUCAUUGAGGACAUUGCACAGGUGUUGGUAUAAUUUGGCCGAACCUAAUGCCAGGGAAAGAGCGCUGGGGAACAAAAAUAUCUUGCACAAAACCAGCGUACAACAUGCACAGAAUUCCUUAAUGCCGCAUUGAGACAAUAUUUCAACUCUGCAAUGCUUUAUUCUACGGCACUGGUUUCGAAGAAUUGUGAAGUCAAAGAUUGCUACAAGUGCACUAGAAAUGGGAAACAAAGCUAUUUAAUUAACAGUUACUCCAGCCUUUUGUGUAUGUCUUCCAUUUAAACUGGCAUCUUUUCACUAUUUUCUCUCUCAACUUUCUUCAUUUACUCGUUUUCUUUCUUCACACACUAUAUAUUUCACAUUUUUCUAUCCUUUACUAUCUAACUUCUUUUUCUUAUUCUCAUCUUUUUUCAAUGUAACAAAAAAAAAAAAGAAGUUGUACAUAAAAUGUAUUAUGAAAAUAUAUAUUAGGCACUUUGGUGCCAUAUGA